rnacentral:rRNA from 1 species
CGCGUAGGCGGUCUCUAAAGUCAGAUGUGAAAGCCCGGGGCUUAACCCCGGAAGUGCAUUUGAAACUUAGGGACUUGAGUAUGGGAGAGGGAAGUGGAAUUCCUGGUGUAGCGGUGAAAUGCGUAGAUAUCAGGAGGAACACCAGUGGCGAAGGCGACUUCCUGGACCAAUACUGACGCUGAGGCGCGAAGGCGUGGGGAGCAAACA